rnacentral:rRNA from 1 species
UACAGAGGGGCAAGCGUUAUUCGGAAUUAUUGGGCGUAAAGGGUGCGUAGGCGGUUUGUCGCGUCUGCCGUGAAAGUCCGGGGCUCAACUCCGGAUCUGCGGUGGGUACGGGCAGACUAGAGUGAUGUAGGGGAGACUGGAAUUCCUGGUGUAGCGGUGGAAUGCGCAGAUAUCAGGAGGAACACCGAUGGCGAAGGCAGAUCUCUGGGCCGUAACUGACGCUGAGGAGCGAAAGCGUGGGGAGCGAACAGG